GACGGAGGGUGCAAGCGUUGUUCGGAAUUACUGGGCGUAAAGGGCGCGUAGGUGGUCUGUUAAGUUCGGUGUGAAAGCCCCCGGCUCACCCGGGGAACGGCGCCGGAUACUGGCAGACUCGAGUACCGGAGAGGAGGGUGGAAUUCCUGGUGUAGCGGUGAAAUGCGUAGAUAUCAGGAGGAACACCGGUGGCGAAGGCGGCCCUCUGGACGGAUACUGACACUGAGGCGCGAAAGCGUGGGGAUCAAACAGG
rnacentral:misc_RNA from 1 species